UCCUCGAGGACUGGUGAGCUGUCACUGCAGCAUGACCGUACUGCCAGCUCCCCAGGGGCUCACCCUAAAAGUUCCUUUUAGAGAACACCCUCAGCCUUAACUCCAUUUUAGAGCCUGACUUCUGGGAGUCAACCUGUGGCAUUUAAGGUGGAUUAUGUAUUAUAUAUAUAGGAUUGUGAACAUGAGUGGGGCGGUAGUGCCUGCAUGCAGUCAGCACCAGCACAUACAGCAUGCAGAGGCAGCCCACUGUGGUAACCACCACGGGGUUGUCCUCAAAGGUAGCAAAGAGCUCGGCAGUCUGGCGGACGUCAAUGGCGUUGGGCAUCACCAGGAAGGAGCUUCCGAAGAAGGGCUGGAGUCACACAUGUUUGUGAGCUGCUGAUGUGCAUGGUGGAAACUGAACUCGGCUUCUCCGUGAAAACAGCGAGGAUCGGACAGAGUCCAGAGUUCCCAGAACCCAAAUGGAUGCCUAAGGGGCCACGGGCAGACCCGGCUCUGAGGCACAGGUCCUCUGUACGAGGUGUGUGGGAUUUGGAGGCAGAUCCAUCCACUUUCCUGAUCCAUUGUCUCAUUGACUGUGAAAUGGGGACAACAGCUCUCCUGGGGUUAUCUGAAGCACUGAUGAGCUAAUGCUGGUAAAGUUGAACUUGGGACACAGCUGAGGUUCUUCACUGGGAUGGGAUGGCCGCUGGAGCUGGUCAGGCGAAGUCCACCAACAGUCCCACUGACAUCAAAUUGGCUUCGGGAAGGGAAGGGGUUCUGUGAGAAACUCAUCAUCUGAAAGCCAAGAGCAAGAAGCACUGAUGAGAGUCGGGGUGAACAGGCCCCUGUGUGAACAGUGAGACCCGCAGGCUGGUGACUGGCCCUCGCUCUAUGAGGUGGAUGCAGGCUCCUGCCUUUAACUGAUGGUGCUUUCCAGAGAUAUCGUUUGCAGAGGCCGUGUCCAGGACUCAGCAAGCCUUUCUUCCCCCAGAGUUGAUAUAAUCAGAUCUCAACAUCUUCAGUUCUAUGUCUGUAGACUCAACUAAAUGUGGACUGAAAUAUUUGAAAAAGACCCUUAGGAAGAAGAUGGCAAACCGGUGGUGACCACGGACAGUGAUCGCAGCAUAAGCUCUCUGACCUUGGACAGAGGGAGAAAGGCCAGGAGAUGAGCUGUACCUCAAAGGCACUGUGAAGGCAUCUCAAGAGAAUUCGGGGAUCCUAGGAAUGACACGGCUCAUCCGGCUCUGUAGACCUGCAUGUAUGGCAGAGGGAACACCAGCCAAAAGAAACCCACAUCUGCACCUUUGUCAGGCCAUUUGUUGUGGAUCCCCAGGUUGCCACCCCUGUGGGAGCACAGGUCUUGGCCCCUUAGGAUAGCCAAAUGCAGGGUGACAGCGGAGUUGAGCGGUGGCAGA
rnacentral:lncRNA from 1 species